UGUAUUUCCUGUCAGAGAUGCUCAGUGAUCCUCAGAGCAGAGAGAGGUACUGCUGUCUUCUGAGUUCUUCAGUGUCCCAACUGAAACAUUCAAACCUCAUCACAGAGCUCCUGUCUUUCCUCACCAUCAUGUGAGUGGGAGAUUGCUCUGGAUUCUGGUUAUGUGGCCUGCAGCACCUAUAAGAACAAGCUCGUCCUGUGUGCCUGCAUUCCAGCUUCUUAGACUCUACGCAAAUGGACACAGUAUCAGUGUUUGACCGCUCUUACAGACACCGACUUCUGUCAACUCACUGCUACUGAUCAGGCACCUCACUCCAGGAAGACAGAGGGCUGCAAGCCUGUCAUCGUUUCCAGUGUGGCUUUGUAUUCUUGGGGUAGCAUCAGAUUUUUCCCACAAAUAUUCAAAGAUUUAUAUGCAGUGAUCGGAUGUGGUGGAGCUUUGUUAACUGUGUGGAAAACAUCUGUUUGUGAUGCUAUUUACAAUGAGGGUGUAAGGUGACAGUUUCCAUGUAAUUUCAAUACUUUUACGAAGCAAAAACAUGUUUGUAAUUAACAUAUUUUUUCAGUUUUGUCUUUUGGAUUUAUGGUUAACAUUCCUCUGUGACAGCAAAUACUAAACUGGUCCAAAAAAGGACCACAAUGAAUUUUUGACUGUGUUUGUGUCACCAGAUUUAACAAACAAUAUCAGACAUAUGAAACUGAACUCUGGAUUAAUGUGCAGAUAUACUGUUUUUUGUGGGUGGUUUUUGUUUUUUUUUUUGUUAUUUUGUAGAACAAAUCCAAUCUAUUUACCCAAACCAUAUAACUUGUUUUGGUAAAUAGUGGAUUAAUAUAUCUAAGUCUAUAAGUAUAGCAAGCUGAAUUCAUACAGACACACAGCUCUAAAUCUUGAAUUGUAGGAUGUACAAAAAUGAUCAUGUGAUUAUUAUGGACAUUUAAAUAACUAUAUCUAUUGAACCAUUACACGUAUUCUUUAUAGAAAUUACAC